AGCUUUGCGCGGUGGCAGCAUCGUAGCCAAUGAGGUUUAUCCGAGGCGCGAUUAUUGCUAAUUGAAAAAAGGAAUAACCAGUGGCGCCUGGUUGACUUGGUUGGUUAAGCAUCCAACUCUGAGUUUCAGCUCAGGUCUGGACC
rnacentral:snRNA from 1 species